rnacentral:lncRNA from 10 species
UAGGAGAAAAAGUAUUCAGAAAUCAAAAUAAGGGGGUUCUUUUUAGCAUAUAAACAGGUGAGUCAACCCUACAAAUCCGAAAAAAAAUAGCAGUGAGAGAUUACUCUUGAAACCAUCUAUUUGGAAUUUGGUGUCUUUACUUUGGUGUUUCUAUACUGCCUAAUUCCCAUUAAACUGUUGUGUGAUCACAUUGUAGAUGUUAUCUUCUUGCUGAAUAUGCAGGCUGAUGGAGUUGGGUCACAGUUUCUACAGAAGUUAGCACACAGCACUAUUCACCAAGGGUGAGUGGAGGGCACCGGGAAAGGCUGCUGCCAGGGAAUUAAGCCUGCUUUCUCCAGCUCACCGUGGGGUUCCAUUUUGCUUUGGGCAAGAGAAUGGACAUUUUCUUUUUACAAAUUUCCAUUGCACAGAACAAGACAAGAGUUCCCCGAAUGAAAUCCAGUCAUUAGUCUCCCUCUUAUAUAAUCUGCAUAAUACUUCCAGAGAGGGGCAGAGGGAGGGGGUCACAAGCAGGUGAGCCAGAGACCUGAAGGGACUCAUCUGGGCCCUGUUAGUGCAACAAAGUACAUUGUAACCCAUCUGCCCCAGAGCCUCCAUGCACUGAAUAUUCAGUUAUAGCACAUAACUGGCUUGGAGUCUGCAUAUACUGUAAGUUGAAUGCAGAUGACAUUUUCUGCAAUAUAAGAAAUACAUUUCAGAAAAGUAGGUUAGACUCUGUUCUUUAGUGUAAAAAAGUUAUUGGGCAUUCAGAGAAGACUAAGGAGCUCAGUGUGGUUAAAGUCAGUACAGGUGGUAGGGGCCGAGAAGGGGAGGGGAGAUUUCAUGUAAAAGAUGCAGAGGUCCUGAACCAAGCCUAUGGAAUGUGGAGAAGAGGAAAGGAAGGAUUUCAGAGGUAUUUCAGAAUUGAGGAACAAAUUAAACAUGGGUGGCCAGAGACUGGGGAGAAUUGAGAAUGAUUCCCAGAUCUCUAGUUUGGGCACUGGCUGGGACUGAGGAGAUGAAGAUCAUUAGUUUGAAUAUGAACAUGUUGAGUUGGAGGUGCUUAUGAAUAAUGUAGGUGCUGAUGUUCAACAGGAGUUGGAAAUAUAGGGCUGGAGUUUAGUGGAGGGGUUUGGGCUGGAGAUAUAGAUGUAGAAAUUAUCAGCUUAUUAUAAUGAAAGCCACAGAAGUGAAUUACAUCUCUCAGGGAGAACAUAGAGAAAGGAGAGGAGAAGACUGAGGAGAGGACCCUGGGAAAGGCCAACAAGAGCCAGGAUAGAGUGGUAUCAAGGAAGCUGAGAAAGGACAGAGUUCAGGAUGGAGUGGGUUGCCAAGAGUUUGGGAUGCUACAAGAGGUUGCAGAGGAUAAGGGCUGAAAGGAAAUCAGCAGAUUAGUCAGUUACUAGGUCCUUGGUUAUCUUCACCAGAGCAGUUUCAGUGGCACAGGGGAGGAAAGAUCUGGUUUUAGGAGAAUAAAGAAUGGCUGCAAAAUGAAACACUGAAGACUACGAGGGGUUUGGUGAUGGAAGAAACAAAAAUGAGUUGAUGUCUUGAGGAGGAGACAGAUUCUCAGGAAGGACUUUUAGUAUGCCAGAAGCUUGGGCAUGCUGACCAGAGCAGGACAGAUUUGGGUGAUGGGAGAAAAAAAUGACAUUAAUGGAGGUAGGUCCCUGGGGAGGUGAGGUAAGGAUGUGUCUUAGAAAGGAAGGACACCUUUUCCUUUGAAACAGGAAGGAAUUAACAAAUAAGCAAAGAAACAAACAGAAUAGAAGGUGUUGUUUUUCUCAAACAAAUCAGCAAGAAAAAUAUCUCAUGAAAAAGUUAACAAAUGAUACGAAUAGACAUUUCUCAAAAGUGGAUAUACAAAUGGCCGACAAACAUAUGAAAAAUGCUCAACAUCACUAAUCAUCAGGGAAAUGCAAAUUACAACCACACUCGUGAGAUACCACCUUACUCCCACAAGAACGGCCAUUACUAAAAAGUCAAAACCCAAAGAUGUUAGUGUGGAUUUGGGGAAAAGGGAAUGCUUAUACACUGCUGGUAGGAAUGUAAAUUAGUACAACCUCUAUGGAAAACAGUAUGGGGAUUUCUUGAAGAUCUAAAAGUAGAUCUAGUAUUUGACCCAGCAAACCCCACUACUGGGUAUCUACCCAAAGGAAAAUAGGCCAUUACAUGAAAAAGACACAUGCACAUGUAUGUUUAUAGCAGCACAAUUCACGAUGCAAAGAUAUGGAACCAACACAAGUGCUCUUGACUGACGACUAGAUAAAGAAAAUGUGAUAUAUAUAUAUAUGUAUACACACACACACACACACACACACACACACACCAUAGAAUACUACUCAGCCAUAAAAAGAAUGAAAUAAUGUCUUUUGCAGCAACUUAGAUGGAGCUGGAGGCCAUUAUUCUAAGUGAAGUAACACAGGAAUGGAAAACCAAAUACUGUAUGUUCUCACUUGCAAGUGGGAGCUAAGCUAUGGGUACCCAAAGGCAUACAGAAUGGUAUAAUGGACUCUGGAGACUCAGAAGGGGGAAGGGUGAGAGGAGGAUGAGGGAUAAAAAACUAUAUAUUGGGUACAAUGUACACUACUCGGGUGAGAGAUGCACUAAAAUCUCAGACUUCACCACUG